rnacentral:lncRNA from 1 species
AUUUGUCAAAAAGCAUUGCCAAGAGCUAGAAGUUCUGCCAUCUAAUAAUAUCCUCCCACUCUAGUUCCUCAGAGCCAGCAUUAGCCAAUUGGCUUCCUCAAGUCAUUACCCUACAAAACUUCAUUGCUACUCCUAAACAUGCUACAAUCAAUAACAAAGAUACCAAAAAAAAAAUGAAAAAGUGGAACUGGCAAUGGCAUGCUUCAAUUCAAUGAUAAGCAACAGCACCUUUGAUAAAUAUUCAUUUACCUUUUAUCUGGUAUGAAGGAU